rnacentral:rRNA from 1 species
CGGCGCGCCUAACACAUGCAAGUCGAACGAUAGACUCUUCGGAGUAGUAAAGUGGCGAACGGGUGAGUAAUACAUGGGUAAUCUGCCUUUGAGCGGGGGAUAACCAGCCGAAAGGCUGGCUAAUACCCCAUACGCUUCCGGUCCCUCGGGUAAGGAAGGAAAGCCGCAUCGUGGAUGUGGCACUCGAAGAUGGGCUCAUGGCCUAUCAGCUUGUUGGUGGGGUAACGGCCCACCAAGGCUACGACGGGUAGCUGGUCUGAGAGGACGAUCAGCCACACUGGCACUGAGAUACGGGCCAGACUCCUACGGGAGGCAGCAGUGAGGAAUAUUGCGCAAUGGGCGAAAGCCUGACGCAGCGACGCCGCGUGGGGGAAGAAGGUUUUCGGAUUGUAAACCCCUUUUAGGAGGAAAGAUGGGGUGGGUUUCCACCCGGACGGUACCUCCAGAAAAAGCCACGGCUAACUUCGUGCCAGCAGCCGCGGUAAUACGAAGGUGGCGAGCGUUGUUCGGAUUUACUGGGCGUAAAGAGCACGUAGGCGGUUUAGUAAGCCCCUUGGGAAAGCUAUGGGCUUAACCCAUAAAGGUCGAGGGGGACUGCUAAGCUAGAGGGCGGGAGAGGAGCGCGGAAUUUCCGGUGUAGCGGUGAAAUGCGUAGAUAUC